CAGAAAACAUGAACUGUAUGUAGUUCUGAGGACUGAGUUUGAGAACUUUUGCUACAGAUGUGAUAAUGACAGCACUACAGGUCUCCAGAUGGAAUUGCAAUAUUCACAUUAGCACAUGAAGAAGUGAGGAAGUCCCAAGGCAUUGUGGGACGAAACGCGUUUAUGCCACGCUCCUGAAGUACCCUUGCACUGGUGUACCAUUACGGGAAUCAUCACAUUGAAUUACCGCUUGUCACUAUCCCACUGCAGUAUCCAUUGAGUGAGGUGCCGUGCCCCUGCAGCCGCAGACUACUACAUCACUGCCGUCAUUGGGCUGUUAACAAACGGAGCGAACGGAGCCUUCCUGAUGAGCGCACUAUACAUGUGAUCUAUCUCACCUCUCUGGACAUCUUACCCCAGUACACAUCACCCGGGGCGGUGACAGCCUCAUCACCGGGUGAGAAGGGAUAAAGACGCUAUUUAAACAAAAGGGAACAGCGGUAACUAUACAGCAGUGUUUAUACUACCUGUUUGAAAUUUAUACAUUGUAGCCGGGACGCCGGCAUACAAAGUAAUCAUACCCUGUGUGGACCAGGUGCAAAGGACAUAUUGCUACAGUUGCUAUAUACUGCUUAUCAAGAACUUUAGCAACCUAACUGUUGCAUAUACAUUUAGAGGAUAAAUCAAUAAUAAAUUAACAAUAUAAUAAGUCACAUGAUGAUCAGGAAAAUCUCCUCUUGUUCUUGAUUUGAAAGCUAUGCAUGCAUAUUAGAUUAGGAUUUUAGUUUUUGUUUUUAACAUGUAUUAUGAAAUAAAUUUAUU